GACACAGGGAAAGGGGGGAGGAAGAGACACAGGGAAAGGGGGUGAAAGAGGCAGAGGGGGAAGAAAGAGACAAAGAGGGAGAAAUGAGAGAGAGACACACAAGGGGAGGGGAAGAAAGAGGCAGAGGGGAAGAGAGAGACUGGGAAGGAGAGGGGAGACAUUGACACAGAGGAGCAGUGAGGGGGAGAAAGAAACAUACAGAGUGACUGGGGGAGACAAAAAGGCACGGCCGAUCUCCCUCCCCGUUCCACAGGCACCGUGCAGCCAGUCGGCAGGGGAGGAAGAGAGGACCUGGGGCAACGCUCCGGCUCUCACGAGGGUGAACUCUAGCCCUGGAGCUACGGGCUAGAGUUCACUCUCACCACUUCCUGGUGGUCCCAGUAGUAGGAGUGAACUCUAGCCCCAUACACACACUGCCCCACACACACACCAUACACAUUCACACACUGCCCCCACACACACACACCAUACACAUUUACACACUGCCCACCCACACACUGAACCUUUCACACACAUUGCACCACUGCUCCUAUACCCUACUAC